rnacentral:rRNA from 1 species
UACGUAGGGUGCGAGCGUUAAUCGGAAUUACUGGGCGUAAAGCGUGCGUAGGCGGUUCGUUAAGUUCGUCGUGAAAGCCCCGGGCUCAACCUGGGAAUGGCGAUGGAAACUGGCGGGCUGGAGUAUGGCAGAGGGGGGUGGAAUUCCGCGUGUAGCAGUGAAAUGCGUAGAGAUGCGGAGGAACACCGAUGGCGAAGGCAGCCCCCUGGGCCAAUACUGACGCUCAGGCACGAAAGCGUGGGGAGCAAACAGG